AGAAAAUCAACUAACUAAUAUUUUUUCUUGAUUAAUCUUAUUUGCUGCUGGAUGCAAUAUUCGGAAAUAUAGUGUUAGCAGAAGGUAGGAACAUGAUUAAAAAAAUAGAAAUAUUUAAGACUAAUAGUAUUUUUUACUAUCCUUUCUGGGUCAAUCGAACUUGCCAUUGAAUGUAAUUUGGGAAUUAUAGGAGCAAAAGCAAUUGGAGCUGGUAUGACGGCGUUUUUAAAAUUUAUUAUUAUUAAUAUUAACAGUGAUAUAUUUUUUUUAAUUUUUUGAUCUGAAUGAAUCACGGAUGCUAUAAAUGGAUUUUUAGCACUAGCAGGUAUGAAUUGUUUUAGAAAUUAAAACUGAAGUAUAAUAAUUAAUAUAUAUUUUUAUUUUUUUUCCUGGAUCAUAUUUCCUGCUGGAUAUAAUUUUGAAAAUUAUAGUGCAAGAAGGUACGAGCAUUAUUUUAAAAUCAAAGAUUUACGACUAAUAUUUUUUUUUGUUUUCCUUGAUUUAUCAUCAAUUUGCUAUUGAAUCUAAUGUAGAACUCUUAGCGCAAUUGCAAGUUUCUGCAGGUACCCAGUAAGCAGUAAUGACUUCCAAAGCCAUCUACAGUCCACACACUUUAUUGUAGGAGUAAUUAUGUAUAGGAUCAAUAAAAAAGGUUCUUUAAAGAAAAUUUCCCCUGUUGUAAAAUUGUAGACAGAAACGUAAUUUUUUUUUUAAAAGGGAAAUUUUUGACGAAAACUGCUUCUAGUGUGUAAACGCCAU